rnacentral:rRNA from 1 species
GACGAACGCUGGCGGCGUGCUUAACACAUGCAAGUCAAGGGGGCCCAGCAAUGGGCAACCGGCGAACGGGUGCGUAACACGUGAGCAACCUACCGAACUGUGGGGGAUAGCCGGCCUAACGGCCGAGUAAUACCGCAUACGCUCUCAGGGAGGCAUUUCUUUGAGAGGAAACCUACGGGACAGAUCGAGGGGCUCGCGGCCUAUCAGCUAGUUGGCGAGGUAACGGCUCACCAAGGCAACGACGGGUAGCUGGUCUGAGAGGAUGGCCAGCCACAUUGGGACUGAGAUACGGCCCAGACUCCUACGGGAGGCAGCAGUGGGGAAUUGUUCGCAAUGGGCGCAAGCCUGACGACGCAACGCCGCGUGGAGGACGAAGAUUUUCGGAUCGUAAACUCCUGUCGAGCGGGACGAACCCCGCGCGGGUGAAUAAUCCGCGCGGCUGACGGUACCGCUAAAGGAAG